AGAAAACACCCUUAAAUUGUAUCAGAUUUCUGCAUCUAAAUGUUUUACUGUUAAGGUCUACAACACAAACGCAUGGCUUGAGAAGCCAUUGCCAUCCAUUAGACCUUUUACUUGUCCACACACAAUAGCUGGUUUUAAUAAUGAGGAUUUCCAGGUGAUCUGCUUGCUUUGGGAGUUUUGGUUUUAGCUCUGCAUACUGGAAUUUUUGAGAGGUUCUUGUUACUUGACCAAGAUCUUAGUUUGUAACAGCCUUUACUAACUGACAUGUUAUUUUUCUUUAUGCAAAAAUUUCAAGGGCUUUUGGCACUCCAUCCACAGUAACCAGAAAUGACCCAAUUUAAGUUGUGUUGCCUUAAGAGAAUGAUUUAAUAAUUGGUGGACCAGUAGAUGAUGAUUACUGUUCCUCUGCUCUGUUUACACUGCAAACAAAAAAGUAUGAGGAUAUUUUGACAGCCUGCAGCCUCCUUCUCUUCUGUCUUAUUCAGCUGCUGGGCCUCUGUAAAGUAAUGCUGCGAACUGCUGGUGUACAAAUAUUCCAACGUUGCCGCCAGUACAAAUGUGAUCUGAAGAACACUACACAAGGAACAGUAGACAUUCAUUUUCUGGUCCAUUAAUCACAGCACAACCUGAAUUUCUCUGCUGCAAAACCAAAUUUAUCAUGCUCUUUUACAUGUUAUUGUAUAUACAUGCAAUGUGUCUAUUUGCAUGUAUGUAUCAGUAUGAGACCUAUGGUUAUAUCCAUAUGCUUGAUCUAUGGCUUAGACACUCUUACCCAUUAAGAGAUUUAAAAGACAAAUAUGGUGCUAUCAGACCUCAUAUUGGGGUGGUCACUGUUCGUGACUGGUCAUGCGGACUCAUUUAUCAUAUCAUAUAUACUUUAAGAUGCUACGUGUAAGAUUUUCUCUCCAGUAUCUUGCUGUAAAUUGAGCUAUGGCGGCACACUUUGAUACACAUCUUAUGACUGUCACCGAGCAAACUGUAGCCCCUAGAAUCUCUGUCCAUUGUGGGAUUUGGAAUCAAUUCCCUAUGGGAAAAACAGAAAAGUCCUAGGAGCAUACAUGUCUAUGGGGCUAUCGAAUGUACUGUUAUUAGGAUCUUGCAGCGGCAUGGAGAGAGAAAAUCCUAUGUGUUACCUUUAAUAUCCUUGAUAUAUGCAGAUUUGUUUAACAGGUGUUUUUGUUUCAGUGCAAGUCAACACCCUGCAGGUUUGAAAGGACAAGAAGUCACACAUUGACCCUCUCCCUGUUUACUCCCCACACUGUGGCCCAACCUCAUGGCCUCGUUUGUUAAGGUGUGCGACAUGUUGUUAGCUAGAUCGUAACCGUAGUAACAGCCGUUGCCUUUCCCGAAAGUCUGGAUGGUGUUUUUCCUCGAAGCACAUCCACAGUUUUCUUCUAGCUGCUGAAUUUUUUGACCUCCUCGGAAGGUCCCGUUGUUAUUAUUGAAGGAAGCACCUCAUGGCGGGGACACCGUUAUUAUUGUUUUACUCGUCAUAGAGUUGCAGUACAGAUGAACUGUUGAAAGCAUUGAUACCUCAUGGGACAGUAUGGGACGGCAGUAGUAGUUUGUUGUAGCAGACUGAGUUUUGGUUCCAUACCAGGGUUAGAGUUCAGCCUCAGCAGUUCCUGACGUGUCAUUCUCAUGUUUCGGGGAAUGCUCGAGCUUGUGUUACCUUCGUAUGUUUGACUGAACCAAAGAUGCCAGCGGCCAUGCCCAAAUGCUGCUCUUCAGGCCUGGCUUCCUGUCCUUCCAAAAACCACCCUGCAUAUGACAAAAUGUUCUGUGUUGUUUCUUUGUGUGUGUGAUUUAUUCAGAUGUCUUGAUUUAUUGAGCAACCCGGUUAUUCAAUGAGUUUCAUUGAGUCUGUCUCUGGAGCUUUACUAGCUCCUUGGAUGGUUUGUAAUGGUUGCAAAUGUUACUUGUUUUGUUUAUUGUUGUUAUUAUUUUUAAUAUUAUUAUUGUUGCUAUAAUUUACAAAAAUGAAAAUCCCAUGGUGUGCCUCCUAGCUUUAUGGGUUUAUAAAUGUUUUUUUUCCCUGAAGACCAGCAGUUAUACUUUGUAUAAAAGAUGGAUUUUUUUCCUUAUUUUUUAUGCCAUUAAAGAUGAAAAGCCUGUUUUCUUUACUCUGGACCCAGUAGCUGCACUGGUAUACAAUCGCACUGAUAGAAGACUAAAAAAGAAGAAUCAAUAAUAAUGACAGAUAAAAUAAGAACUACAAUAAACUUGUGUUUGAGACUUUUAUUAAAAAAAGACAAAAACAACAUUAAAAAAAAAAAAAAAAAGAAAAUGACUGUUUUUGUACAUCAAAAUGAAUUCUUUUAAAAUGAAUAUUUUGGAUCUAGUUUAAAAUUAUUUUAGUGGUUUUCUAUGUUUUGAAAUGUUUGGGACACUGACUACUAAGAUGUGUCACUGUAAAAAAAAAUGACAUUUUCAGUUGCAGUGGCCCAAUGGGCUGGGAGGGUUACCUGGUGUAACUCCUCGUACCAACUUGUUUUUUUUUUUUUAUUUCCAUUUUUGAAUCUUUGAUUCUCUGCUUUAAUAACUUGAAAAAUGUUGAUGGAAUAAUAUGAACUGGGAAUUUCAAGCUCACCCCCUGUAGAGCUAGACCCUUCCUCCUUCUCUAUUGAAUUGCUGUUUGUGUGAGACUUGAAACGGGCAUUUAUAAUGGCGGUAUGACUCCAAACUGAAACACACAACAAAAAAAGUGCAAAAGAAAAAAACUUAUCCAAAAAAGGGGGAGCGGGAAGAAAAAUAUAUAGAUGGGUUAUUUGAGUAUGUAAGCAAUGGCUGUGAAGAUGUAGUUUUAAACAUUGUUAUUACCUUUUAAAAAUCAUUUAUUCAAUAAAAAUGACAAAAUCUGUUGUAAAGCAAA
ensembl:lncRNA